UCAUCCCUCCCACAAUGGGUGGUAGAAGAGAAGAGAAAAGAGAGGAUGAGGAAAUGGAGAUAGAUGUAAGAGAGAAAAUUAGGAGAGAGAAAGAAGCAGAGAAGAGAAAAAAUGAGAGGUUG
rnacentral:ribozyme from 1 species